rnacentral:rRNA from 1 species
CACGGGGGGAGCAAGCGUUGUUCGGAAUCACUGGGCGUAAAGGGUGUCUAGGCGGUCAGGUAAGUGAGAUGUGAAAUGCCCCGGCUUACCCGGGGACCUGCAUCUCAUACUGCCUGGCUUGAGUAUGGGAGAGGAUGAGGGAAUUCCUGGUGUAGCGGUGAAAUGCGUAGAUAUCAGGAGGAACACCGGUGGCGAAGGCGGGUCUCUGGACAGUUCCUGACACUGAGGCACGAAGGCCAGGGGAGCAAACGGG